AAUUGAUCGCGUUGAGCUGAUUUCCUAUUUGGAGUAUGUGCUUGCGCUAUCGUUUUUCUAUUCUCCCUUGUGAACCUUUUUGUAGGCUUGAUUGGUUAUGAUAUUGGACUUUGUUCAUGUCAAAGUUCAUUGGGACUCGCGCCGGUGCAUCUUGGUAAAUCCGAUUCGCAUUGUUUUUGAGGUGCUUGACUCUACCCUUAUCAUAUACUAUCGGUCUAUGACUUUUUAUACAUCUACUCUUCAGUUUUUGAAUGUUUUUCUUUUGUUGGUUUUUGAACAACCAAUAAAUUGUUAGUACAACUUUCAGCAACGGAUCUCUUGGCUCUCGCAUCGAUGAAGAACGCAGCGAAAUGCGAUAAGUAAUGUGAAUUGCAGAAUUCAGUGAAUCAUCGAAUCUUUGAACGCACCUUGCACUCCUUGGUAUUCCGAGGAGUAUGCCUGUUUGAGUGUCAUUAAAUUCUCAAGCUUUUUCCUUCUUAGGAGGGGGACAAGUUUGGAUUCUGAGAGCUUUUGCCGGAUUCCUUAUGGAAAUCGGCUCUCUUCAAAUAUAUUAGUAGUUUGGCUUAGCUCCACAUUCUCUAUUGAUGUGAUAGUUAUCUACAUCGCUAAAGAUUGGAUCUGCUUUCCAACCGUCUU
rnacentral:rRNA from 1 species